GAUGAACGCUGGCGGCGUGCUUAACGCAUGCAAGUCGUACGUGAAGGGGUUUUCGGACUCCUGAAAGUGGCGAACGGGUGAGUAAUACGUAGAUGACCUGCCUUAAAGUGGGGGAUAACUACUGGAAACGGUGGCUAAUACCGCAUAGAGCUGUGACCGUUGGGAGGUUGCAGGGAAAGCUCCGGCGCUUAGAGAGGGGUCUACGUCCGAUUAGCUAGUUGGUGGGGUAAAGGCCUACCAAGGCGACGAUCGGUAGCUGGUCUGAGAGGACGAUCAGCCACACGGGAACUGAGACACGGUCCCGACUCCUACGGGGGGCAGCAGCGAGGAAUAUUGGGCAAUGGGCGAAAGCCUGACCCAGCAACGCCGCGUGAAGGAAGAAGGCCUUCGGGUUGUAAACUUCUUUUGUGGGGGAAAAGAGAGGACGGUACCCUGCGAAUAAGUCACGGCUAACUACGUGCCAGCCGCCGCCGUAA
rnacentral:rRNA from 1 species